rnacentral:rRNA from 2 species
UUUAAUGGAGAGUUUGAUCCUGGCUCAGGACGAACGCUGGCGGCGUGCCUAAUACAUGCAAGUCGAGCGGGGUU